GAACUGCGAAUGGCUCAUUACACCAGCCUUAAUUUACUUGACCUUGACACCCUACUUGGAUAACUGUGGUAAUUCUAGAGCUAAUACAUGCACCAAAGCUCCAAUCUCCCCAGAGCGGAGCGCAUUUGUUCGCCACAAAACCAAGCGCCUCAGGGCGUUCAGUGUUGACUCAGAACAACUAAGCUGAUCGCACGGUCUUGCACCGGCGACGUGUCUUUCAAGUGUCUGCCUUAUCAACUUUCGAUGGUAGUGUAUCUGACUACCAUGGUGAUGACGGGUAACGGAGGAUAAGGGUUCGACUCCGGAGAAGGGGCCUGAGAAAUGGCCACUACGUCUAAGGAUGGCAGCAGGCGCGCAAAUUACCCACUCUCGACGCGAGGAGGUAGUGACGAGAAAUAACGAGACCGUUCUCAUCUGAGGCCGGUCAUCGGAAUGGGUACAAUUUAAACCCUUUAACGAGUAUCUAUGAGAGGGCAAGUCUGGUGCCAGCAGCCGCGGUAAUUCCAGCUCUCAAAAUGCAUAGAAUUAUUGCUGCGGUUAAAAAGCUCGUAGUUGGAUCUGUGCUGAGCGACCGGUCUGCCCACUGGGCACGCACUGGCUCGCCCGGCUUUCCCUGCCGGUCUCUCUCUGACGUUGGUUUUAACCGGCUGGCGUCAGUGGGCUGGCGAGUUUACUUUGAACAAAUCAGAGUGCUUCAAACAGGCGUCUCGCCUGAAUGUUCGUGCAUGGAAUAAUAGAAGAGGAUCACGGUCCGAUUUUAUUGGUUUUGCUGACCGAGAUAAUGGUUAACAGAGACAAACGGGGCCAUUCGUAUUGCUACGUGAGAGGUGAAAUUCUUGGACCGUAGCAAGACGGACUACAGCGAAAGCAUUUGGCAAGAAUGUCUUCAUUAAUCAAGAACGAAAGUCAGAGGUUCGAAGGCGAUCAGAUACCGCCCUAGUUCUGACCGUAAACGAUGCCAACUAGCGAUCCGCCGGCGGAUUCAUUCGCCCUGGUGGGGAGCUUCCCGGAAACGAAAGUCUUCCGGUUCCGGGGGAAGUAUGGUUGCAAAGCUGAAACUUAAAGGAAUUGACGGAAGGGCACCACCAGGAGUGGAGCCUGCGGCUUAAUUUGACUCAACACGGGGAAACUCACCCGGCCCGGACACCGUAAGGAUUGACAGAUUGAUAGCUUUUUCAUGAUUCGGUGGAUGGUGGUGCAUGGCCGUUCUUAGUUCGUGGAGCGAUUUGUCUGGUUUAUUCCGAUAACGAGCGAGACUCUGGCCUACUAAAUAGUUGGCACAUUGCCACUGUGUGCACAACUUCUUAGAGGGAUUUUCGGUGUUCAGCCGCACGAAAUUGAGCAAUAACAGGUCUGUGAUGCCCUUAGAUGUCCGGGGCUGCACGCGCGCUACACUGGCAAAAUCAGCGUGCUUGUCCUCCCCCGAAAGGGGUUGGUAAACCGAUGAAAAUUUGCCGUGAUUGGGAUCGGACAUUGCAAUUAUUGUCCGUGAACGAGGAAUCCCUUGUAAGGGCGAGUCAUCAACUCGUCCUGAAUACGUCCCUGCCCUUUGUACACACCGCCCGUCGCUGCCCGGGACUGAGCCAUUUCGAGAAAACCGGGGAUUGUUGGCCUGACGGCUCUCGGGUCGUCUAGCCGAUGAGAACCGGCUUAAUCGCACUGGUUUGAACCGGGCAAAAGUCGUAACAAGGUAGCUGUAGGUGAACCUGCAGAAGGAUCA
rnacentral:rRNA from 1 species